rnacentral:rRNA from 1 species
GCGAACCGGGGGAACUGAAACAUCUAAGUACCCCGAGGAAAAGAAAUCAACCGAGAUUCCCCCAGUAGCGGCGAGCGAACGGGGAGCAGCCCAGAGCCUGAAUCAGUGUGUGUGUUAGUGGAAGCGUCUGGAAAGGCGCGCGAUACAGGGUGACAGCCCCGUACACAAAAAUGCACAUGCUGUGAGCUCGAUGAGUAGGGCGGGACACGUGGUAUCCUGUCUGAAUAUGGGGGGACCAUCCUCCAAGGCUAAAUACUCCUGACUGACCGAUAGUGAACCAGUACCGUGAGGGAAAGGCGAAAAGAACCCCGGCGAGGGGAGUGAAAAAGAACCUGAAACCGUGUACGUACAAGCAGUGGGAGCACGCUUAGGCGUGUGACUGCGUACCUUUUGUAUAAUGGGUCAGCGACUUAUAUUCUGUAGCAAGGUUAACCGAAUAGGGGAGCCGAAGGGAAACCGAGUCUUAACUGGGCGUUAAGUUGCAGGGUAUAGACCCGAAACCCGGUGAUCUAGCCAUGGGCAGGUUGAAGGUUGGGUAACACUAACUGGAGGACCGAACCGACUAAUGUUGAAAAAUUAGCGGAUGACUUGUGGCUGGGGGUGAAAGGCCAAUCAAACCGGGAGAUAGCUGGUUCUCCCCGAAAGCUAUUUAGGUAGCGCCUCGUGAAUUCAUCUCCGGGGGUAGAGCACUGUUUCGGCAAGGGGGUCAUCCCGACUUACCAACCCGAUGCAAACUGCGAAUACCGGAGAAUGUUAUCACGGGAGACACACGGCGGGUGCUAACGUCCGUCGUGAAGAGGGAAACAACCCAGACCGCCAGCUAAGGUCCCAAAGUCAUGGUUAAGUGGGAAACGAUGUGGGAAGGCCCAGACAGCCAGGAUGUUGGCUUAGAAGCAGCCAUCAUUUAAAGAAAGCGUAAUAGCUCACUGGUCGAGUCGGCCUGCGCGGAAGAUGUAACGGGGCUAAACCAUGCACCGAAGCUGCGGCAGCGACACUAUGUGUUGUUGGGUAGG